rnacentral:rRNA from 1 species
UGGGGAAUAUUGCACAAUGGGCGAAAGCCUGAUGCAGCAACGCCGCGUGAGGGACGACGGCCUUCGGGUUGUAAACCUCUUUUAGCAAGGAAGAAGCGAAAGUGACGGUACUUGCAGAAAAAGCGCCGGCUAACUACGUGCCAGCAGCCGCGGUAAUACGUAGGGCGCAAGCGUUAUCCGGAAUUAUUGGGCGUAAAGAGCUCGUAGGCGGUUUGUCGCGUCUGCUGUGAAAACCCGAGGCUCAACCUCGGGCCUGCAGUGGGUACGGGCAGACUAGAGUGCGGUAGGGGAGAUUGGAACUCCUGGUGUAGCGGUGGAAUGCGCAGAUAUCAGGAAGAACACCGAUGGCGAAGGCAGAUCUCUGGGCCGUAACUGACGCUGAGGAGCGAAAGGGUGGGGAGCAAACAGGCUUAGAUGACCCUGGUAGUCCACCCGUAACGUUGGGAACUAGUUGUGGGUCCAUUCCACGGAUUCCGUGACGCAGCUAACGCAUUAAGUUCCCCGCCUGGGGAGUACGGCCGCAAGGCU